GCAUGUCUAAGCAUAAACUAAUCUAAAGUGAAGCCGCGAAUAGCUCAUUACAACAGCCGUUGUUUCUUGGAUCUCCGUCUUACUUGGAUAACUGUGGUAAUUCUAGAGCUAAUACAUGCAGCCGAGCUCUGACUUCACAGGAAGAGCGCAUUUAUUAGAUCAAAACCAAUCGGCUCCGGCCGUUUCUGGUGAAUCUGAAUAACUACGCAGAUCGCUUAGGUUUUAUACCGGCGACAAAUCCUUCAAGUGUCUGCCUUAUCAACUUUCGAUGGUAGUUUUUAAGCCUACCAUGGUGACGACGGGUAACGGAGAAUUAGGGUUCGACUCCGGAGAGGGAGCCUGAGAAACGGCUACCACUUCUAAGGAAGGCAGCAGGCGCGCAAAUUACCCACUCUCGGAAAGAGGAGGUAGUGACGAAAAAUAACGAGAUAACCCGCUCUAGCGAGUUAUCAUCGGAAUGAGAACAAUCUAAAUCCUUUAACGAGGACCUAGCGGAGGGCAAGUCUGGUGCCAGCAGCCGCGGUAAUUCCAGCUCCGCCAGUGUAUAUCUAUGCUGCUGCGGUUAAAAAGCUCGUAGUUGGAUCUUCGUGCUUGAAAUCGGUCCACCUUUGUGGUGUGCACUGACUUUCGGCACUAAAUCGUCGGUUUUCCCUUGAUGCCUUUAACCGGGUGUCCUGGGUGGCUGACAUGUUUACUUUGAAAAAAUUAGAGUGCUCAAAACAAGCGAUUCGCUUGAAUAUUCGUGCAUGGAAUAAUAGAAUAGGUCCUUGGUUCUAUUUUGUUGGUUUUCAGAGCACAAGGAAAUGAUUAAGAGGGACAGACGGGGGCAUUCGUACUCCGACGUUAGAGGUGAAAUUCUUGGAUCGUCGGAUGACGCACUACUGCGAAAGCAUUUGCCAAGAAUGUUUUCAUUAAUCAAGAACGAAAGUUAGAG
rnacentral:rRNA from 1 species